rnacentral:rRNA from 1 species
AUGUUUCAUGAGGAGAAUUAUGGCAGAAUGAUUGACCAUGAGAAGUAUAAGAAAGAGUUGGACAAGGUGAAUAAGCAGUUGGAUACACUUGGGGAUCAGUAUAGUCAGCUGGUUGAGGAAGUCACCACGAUGUUUGAUUGGGAAGAUCAGAACAACAAGGUCAUGAGUGAUGAACAGUUCAAGCAGAAGCAAAUGGAUGUGGACACAGACAUGGAGAAGCUAGCUAUCAGCAAGGAGAAGGAGAGUGCUGACUUUGGAAAGAUGAAGGAGAUGGAGAAGAAGGCUUAG